CUCUUGUAGUCAUUUCUAAAUUAAUUCUAUGACAAGUAUAGGACAUUAAUACAUAAAAAAAAUCAAUAAGGAGAAUAAUAUAUCAAUUAUCUCCAAUACCGUUCUAAGUUUCACUUAAAACAAAGAAAACUCAUAUUCAAAUUUUAGACCGUUAGUUCCCUUCUCAUAUUUCAAAAUUAUUUUCAAAACCCUUUUUCAGCGAUUUUAAUAAGCCAAAGGGUAUCAGUACGUAAUUGUACAUAAAUCUCGGUUUUCCACAGAAAUUGCAAAAGAAUUUUCCGUAACCCUCUUUCAGCAAUUUAUGAUAACUAAGAAGGUACCGUUACGAAAUUUCCUAUAAAAUUUCCAGUUUUCACUGAAAUUAACUUUCGCAAGCCUCUUCUUGAAAACGUUUUAUGCAAAAACACUGCGGCAAUAAUACUUGCAAAAUGUGACAGCGUUUUUGAAACUGUUGCAAAAAAGGUGGACUAAAUAUGUAAUUUUCAAACUUUGACUGUAAAAACCAUUUUUGAACGAUUUUUUUCUCAUUUUCUGAUUUCGUUCUCUCUCUCCUCCCGAGAGUUCCUUUUUCCUCUCGCGAAACCCUAACUGAGGGUUUAGUCCGCCGCACCGCACCUCCGCUGCCGUCACUGCCAGUACCAACACCGCCGCUGCCGAGAGGAUGACGACCUCCUCUUCUUCCUGUUGUGAGGAAGAUGCUCGGAGCGGCUAUCCGACGAGCAGCGAAGAAGCCCUUUUCCACCAGAUUGGGGUUUUGGGUUGCGGCGAGGACGAUAUGCCUGUAACUCCAGGGCUGGGAAUCCCUGCUCUCAACCUCCCCACCAUUUCCCACGACUUGCCAUCUGCGUCUUCGUGUGCUGAACUGACAAGUUGAGACAGAACAUUUCGAUUUUGUUUCUGUCAAUCUCCCUCUUUACCCAAAUUUCAGAUCGCCUAGAUUGCAGGACAAACAAAGACCCUCUGGCUUCCAUUUUUCGUGUCGAGAGCGCACGAAUGAAAACGACCCUUCGCGAGUCGCGGCUGGUGAACAACGCUCAAACAACGAUCGAUUUAAAGCAAGAAAAGACAGAGUUUUCAGAGGCUCAAAUCGCAGGCUGAUCCUCGGAGGUAAAAUUGGCGAUGGAGGCAAUGGACACGGCGGCGGGGGAAUGGGGAUGGACCGGAUGGUCUUCACGGUUCUUUUCGGUGGCGAGAGCGGCGUUCACGUUGCUGCUUUAUCCUCGCUGGGAGGAACGGGAUCCAAGCUCAGAGGAGGACGGUGUACUCCUUCUCGGUGAAAUUCAGCUUUGAGAAUAGCACUUAGGUAAGUUAAUUAAAUGUAUUUUCUUUUACAUGUUUUGGUGUUUGAAAAAACACCAAGUAUGUAUACGGAUAAAAAUAUAAUGUAUACAGUUAUUUUUUCA